CUGGGCUAGACAACGGCGGACCGUCCUAGAAAUAGGACUUUCCCUUCGGGGACCUCCGGUUCAGGUGCUGCAUGGCUGUCGUCAGCUCGUGCCGUGAGGUGUUGGGUUAAGUCCCGCAACGAGCGCAACCCUCGUCCUUAGUUGCCACCAUUCAGUUGGGCACUCUAGGGAGACUGCCGGCGUUAAGCCGGAGGAAGGUGGGGACGACGUCAAGUCAUCAUGGCCCUUAUGUCCAGGGCCACACACGUGCUACAAUGGGCGGUACAAAGGGUCGCAAACCCGCGAGGGGGAGCCAAUCCCAAAAAGCCGCUCUCAGUUCGGAUUGGAGUCUGCAACUCGACUCCAUGAAGUUGGAAUCGCUAGUAAUCGCGGAUCAGCACGCCGCGGUGAAUACGUUCCC
rnacentral:rRNA from 1 species